CCUACGGGGGACUGCAGUGGGGAAUAUUGGGCAAUGGGCGCAAGCCUGACCCAGCAACGCCGCGUGAAGGAAGAAGGCUUUCGGGUUGUAAACUUCUUUUGACAGGGAAGAGUAGAAGACGGUACCUGUCGAAUAAGCCACGGCUAACCACGUGCAAGCAGCCGCGGUAAUACGUAGGUGGCAAGCGUUGUACGGAUUUACUGGGUGUAAAGGGCGGGUAGCCGGGUUGACAAGUCAGAUGUGAAAUCCUGCGGCUUAACCGCAGAACUGCAUUUGAAACUGUGGGUCUUGAGUACUGUAGGGUCAGGCAGAAUUCCAAGUGUAGCGGUGAAAUGCGUAGAUAUUAGGAGGAACACCAGUGGCGAAGGCGGUCUGCUGGACAGCAACUGACGGUGAGGCGCGAAAGCGUGGGGAGCAAACAGGAUUAGAUACCCGAGUAGUC
rnacentral:rRNA from 1 species